GACGAACGCUGGCGGCGUGCUUAACACAUGCAAGUCGAACGGAAAGGCCCUGCUUUUGUGGGGUGCUCGAGUGGCGAACGGGUGAGUAACACGUGAGUAACCUGCCCUUGACUUUGGGAUAACUUCAGGAAACUGGGGCUAAUACCGGAUAGGAGCUCCUGCUGCAUGGUGGGGGUUGGAAAGUUUCGGCGGUUGGGGAUGGACUCGCGGCUUAUCAGCUUGUUGGUGGGGUAGUGGCUUACCAAGGCUUUGACGGGUAGCCGGCCUGAGAGGGUGACCGGCCACAUUGGGACUGAGAUACGGCCCAGACUCCUACGGGCGGCAGCAGUGGGGAAUAUUGCACAAUGGGCGGACGCCUGAUGCAGCAACGCCGCGUGCGGGAUGACGGCCUUCGGGUUGUAAACCGCUUUCGCCUGUGACGAAGCGUGAGUGACGGUAAUGGGUAAAGAAGCACCGGCUAACUACGUG
rnacentral:rRNA from 1 species